rnacentral:rRNA from 1 species
UACGUAGGGGGCAAGCGUUGUCCGGAAUCAUUGGGCGUAAAGAGCGUGUAGGCGGCCCGGUAAGUCCGCUGUGAAAGUCCAGGGCUCAACCCUGGAAUGCCGGUGGAAACUGUCGGGCUAGAGUCCGGAAGAGGCGAGUGGAAUUCCUGGUGUAGCGGUGAAAUGCUUAGAUAUGACAUAGAACACCAAUUGCGAAGGCAGCUUGCUACACGGAUAUUGACUCUGAGGCACGAAAGCGUGGGGAUCAAACAGG